AUUGAACGCUGGCGGCAGGCCUAACACAUGCAAGUCGAACGAGUUGCGGACGGGUGAGUAAUGUCUGGGAAACUUCCUGAUGGAGGGGGAUAACUACUUGCAACGGUAGCUUAUACCGCAUACCAUCGGAUGUGCCCAGCUCGGAUUAGCUUGUAGGUGGGGUAAAGGCUCACCUAGUCGACGAUCCCUACCUGGUCUGAGAGGAUGACAAGCCACAGUGGAACUGAGACACGGUCCAGACUCCUACGGGAGGAAGAAGUGGGGAAUAUUGGACAAGGGGCGCAAGCCGGAUGCAGACAUGGCGGGUGUAUGAAGAAGGCCUUCGGGUUGUAAAGUAUUUUAAGCGGGGAGGCGUUACCCGCAGAAGAAGCACCGGCUAACUCCGUGACAGCAGCCGCGGUAAUAG
rnacentral:rRNA from 1 species